GUGCGAGGGGGGAAAUUGGCUCAGUGGUAGAGCACACGCUUCGUAAGCGAGAGGUCACCGGUUCGAUCCCGGGCUAGGACG